CCUACGGGAGGCAGCAGUAGGGAAUAUUGGGCAAUGGGCGCAAGCCUGACCCAGCAACGCCGCGUGCAGGAUGAAGGCUUUCGGGUUGUAAACUUCUUUUGUCAGGGAAGAGUAUAUGACGGUGCCUGUCAUAUUAGCCUGGGCUAACUACGUGCGCGCAGCCGCGUUAAUACGUAGGUUGCAAGCGUUGUACGGAGUUACUGGGGGUAAAGGGCGUGUAGUCGGGUUGAAAAGUCAGAUGUGAAAUCCUGGGGCUUAAACGCAGAACUGCAUUUGACUCUGUUGAUCUAGAGUACGGGAGAGGCAGGCGGAAUGCAUGGUGGAGAGGUGAAAUGCGUAGAGAUAAGGAAGAACACCAGUGGCGAAGGCGGUCUGCUGGACAACAACUGACGGUGAGGCGCGAAAGCGUGGGGAGCAAACAGGAUUAGAUACCCGAGUAGUC
rnacentral:rRNA from 1 species